rnacentral:rRNA from 1 species
AUUGAACGCUGGCGGCAGGCUUAACACAUGCAAGUCGAGCGGUAACAGAGAGAAGCUUGCUUCUCUGCUGACGAGCGGCGGACGGGUGAGUAAUGCCUAGGAAUCUGCCUAGUAGUGGGGGAUAACCUGCCGAAAGGUAAGCUAAUACCGCAUACGUCCUACGGGAGAAAGGAGGGGACCUUCGGGCCUUUCGCUAUUAGAUGAGCCUAGGUCGGAUUAGUUAGUUGGUGAGGUAAUGGCUCACCAAGACCGCGAUCCGUAACUGGUCUGAGAGGAUGAUCAGUCAAACUGGAGCUGAGACACGGUCCAGACUCCUACGGGAGGCAGCAGUGGGGAAUAUUGGACAAUGGGGGGAACCCUGAUCCAGCCAUGCCGCGUGUGUGAAGAAGGUCUUAGGAUUGUAAAGCACUUUAAGUUGUGAGGAAGAGCAGUUAACUAAUAUUUGACUGUUUUGACGUUACCGACAGAAUAAGCACCGGCUAACUUCGUGCCAGCCGCCGCCGUAA